GCGGCGGUGGCGGAAUUGGUAGACGCACCAGCUUGAGGGGCUGGCGGGGGCAACCCCGUGGAGGUUCGAAUCCUCUCCGCCGCACCA
rnacentral:tRNA from 1 species